AGCACAUGUGAUGAAGUAACAUCACAUGGGGGGGGUGGCGCUCUGCAGUGGCGUCACCCAAAUGCUCCUUUUAUCUCGACAAAAAGGAAUAAAUGUAAGUAAAUCCAAAAGGACCGCUGACAGAAUCAAAUGUUGGAAUGGUUCUCCCUCAAAGGCUUCAACAAUGACUUGUACAAUUCUCUCGGGCCGCCGUUAUUAAAGUAGAAGCUGUUUACAUCCGCGGGCUCAUGGUAGAGGCGAGGAAAGAGGCGGACGUUCAUAAUAAACUCACUCCAGAUUGGCGACAGUACUUCCUAUAGAUUCUGUCAGGUCUUGACAGUUCCUGCUCCUCUGCCGCCCUCUCCUGGUCCAGUUUUUUUCCUUGGUUUCCGCUCGCCCUUUUUCCUCUCUCUCCUCCACAGGUGUCCAGGAUGCAGCAGGGAAUCCUGGCACACCUGCGACUCAUCACCUCAACAGUAUUUAGGACUGGUUCAUCCAGCUUCUCCCUGCCAGUUCGUCUGCUUACCUCAAGUGUUUGUUUUCACCUGGAUCCGUCCCUGCCUGCCUGCCUGAUCUCUGCUUCUGCUGGACCGUAUCCUCCCCCAACCUACUUUGACCUGUAACUUUAAUAAACACCUCACUGUCCAACUCAUCAACACCUCCUGUCUUUUGAUCAUGACAGAACGAACUGGCCUAACAAUGGAUGUUGAUGAGUCCAACCCUGUGCCAUUGACAACAGAUGAUCUUUGAAAAUCCAUUGAAGCCCAGGGGCGCCUCCUCGCUGCCCUGCCUGUUUCAACAUCUGACCCAUCUGCUGCCCAAAGAGACUCUUAUGCCCCGGAUCCGGAACCGUUCUCUGGUGAUCUAAGUCGUUGCCGCGGUUUCCUGCUCCAGUGUCGUCAUGUUUUUUGCAACGACCAGCAACCUUCAGCUCAGAUAAGUCCAAGAUCCUUUAUGUCAUCGGGCUUCUCAGGGGCAGAGCUCUAGACUGGGCAGAGGCAGCAGAAUUACGCUGUUCCUUCCUCUCAGCCUCUUGUGUAUCUUUCGAAGCUAAUUUCAAGAGUGUUUUCGACCACCCAGACCAUGGUGGUCCAGCAGAAGACCGCUGAUUAGGCCUUGUUCAGGGAUCGAGAAGUGCAGCUGAUUACUCUGUGGAGUUUCAGACCCUGGCUGCAGAUUCCGGGUGGAAUGAGGUAGCACUCAUGAGGGCUUUCAGGAGGGGAUUAAAUGACCGUCUCAAAGACGAGCUAGUUUGCGUAGACCAGUCUCCUGACCUGCAUUCUCUGUUCCAACUCUCCAUCAGGCUUGACAACCGCCUCCGGGAGCGCCAAAGAGAAAAAAAGGGCCGUCACAACCUCUACAUGAACCAAUUGAGGAACCCAUGCAGCUGGGCAGAACACGCCUCACAUCUGAGGAACGCCAGCAAAGACUUCAGCUCGGAAACUGUCUUUACUGCGAACUCCUCAGAUCAUGUCCACCACGUGCGUCUGGUACUCCAACGCCUGUUGCAAAACCAAGUGUAUGCCAAAGCAGAAAAAUGUGAGUUUCAUGCCCCCUCAAUCGCAUUUCUCGGGUUCAUUCUCGGUUCUGGACAACUUAAGACGGACCCUUCCAAAAUCACAGCAAUAACAGAAUGGCCGGUCCCCACCACUCGCAAAUGACUUCAGCAGUUUCUUGGGUUUGCCAAUUUUUACCGUAAAUUCAUAAAGAACUACAGUACAAUCGUUCAGCCUCUCACCCAACUCACUUCCACCAAAAUCCGAUUCGCCUGGUCCACGCAAUCCCAAGAAGCCUUUGAUUCUCUGAAGCAGAGAUUCUCAUCGGCUCCUGUCCUCUGUCAACCUGACCUUGAAAAGCCUUUUGUGGUGGAAGUGGACGCCUCAGAUUCUGGAGUGGGUGCUGUCCUAUCUCAGGUCUCUGACACGGACAAAAAAGUCCACCC